ACACGCAUGACACACUGCAUAUCAAUAAGCGGAGGAAAAGAAACUAACAAGGAUUCCCUUAGCAACGGCGAGUGAAGCGGGAAGAGCUCAAAUUUGAAAUCUUCAAGGUUCUACCUUGACGAAUUGUAGUUUAUAGAAGUGUUUUCUGUUAGUAGAGUGGCAAAAGUUCUUUGGAAUAGGACAUCAUAGAGGGUGAGAAUCCCGUAUUUGGUCAUUCCUCCUAGCGUUGUGAUACACUUUCAACGAGUCGGAUUGUUUGGGAAUGCAGUCCAAAAUGGGUGGUAAAUUUCAUCUAAAGCUAAAUAUUGGCGAGAGACCGAUAGCGAACAAGUACCGUGAGGGAAAGAUGAAAAGAACUUUGAAAAGAGAGUUAAACAGUACGUGAAAUUGUCAAAAGGGAAGCGUUUGACACCAGUGUUGUUUAGUUGAAAAUCAAUUCAAUAGUUUUUGAUUCUAAGUAGUAUUGACUUCAUCAGCUUGCUGCUUUCUUUUCAGGAAUUAUUGAAUGCACUUUUCAGUUAACAAGUCAACAUCAAUUUCUUUUGUUGUAAAAGGGUAAGAGGAAGGUGGCUUACGCUUCGGCGUAAGUGUUUAUAGCCUUUUACCUCUGCAAUCGGAGAGAUUGAGGUCAGCAGCGUAGACUCUUCGGGGUUAGAUACACUUGUGCUAAGCUAUAGCCUUGUAUAGACAACUUGUUGACUAUGCUCAGUCAUGUAGCUUACUCGCUUGUGCUAUUUUACCUACGCUUAGGAUGUUGACUGAUAUGUAGUCGUA
rnacentral:rRNA from 1 species